AAUAAACGCUGGCGGCGUGCCUAACACAUGCAAGUCGAGCGCGAAAGGGGGGCAACUCCCGAGUAGAGCGGCGAACGGGUGAGUAACGCGUGGGUGAUCUACCUUCGAGUGGGGAAUAACCCCGGGAAACUGGGGCUAAUACCGCAUGACAUCCCGAGUCACAUCGGGAUCAAAGCCGGGGACCGCAAGGCCUGGCGCUUGAAGAGGAGCCCGCGGCGCAUUAGCUAGUUGGUGGGGUAAUGGCCCACCAAGGCGACGAUGCGUAGCCGACCUGAGAGGGUGAUCGGCCACACUGGGACUGAGACACGGCCCAGACUCCUACGGGAGGCAGCAGUAGGGAAUCUUCCGCAACGGACGAAAGUCUGACGGAGCAACGCCGCGUGAGUGAAGAAGGUUUUCGGAUCGUAAAACUCUGUUGUUAGGGAAGAACACGUAUGGGAGUAACUGCCCGUACCUUGACGGUACCUCCAGAAGAAGCCCCGGCUAACUACGUGCCAGCCGCCGCCGUAACAC
rnacentral:rRNA from 1 species